rnacentral:rRNA from 2 species
GCGUUAACGAACGAGACCUCAGCCUGCUAACUAGCUAUGCGGAGGUGAUCCUCCGUGGCCAGCUUCUUAGAGGGACUAUGGCCUUCUAGGCCAAGGAAGUUUGAGGCA